CAUGCAAGUCGAGGGGCAGCAGGGUGUAGCAAUACAUCGCUGGCGACCGGCAAACGGGUGCGGAACACGUACGCAACCUUCCUUUAAGUGAGGAAUAGCCCGGGGAAACCCGGAUUAAUACCUCGUAAGAUUAUGAUGUGGCAUCACAUUAUAAUUAUAGCUCAGGCGCUUAAAGAUGGGCGUGCGGCUGAUUAGGUAGUUGGCGGGGUAACAGCCCACCAAGCCUACGAUCAGUAACUGGUGUGAGAGCACGACCAGUCACACGGGCACUGAGACACGGGCCCGACUCCUACGGGAGGCAGCAGUAAGGAAUAUUGGUCAAUGGACGCAAGUCUGAACCAGCCAUGCCGCGUGGAGGAUGACGGCCCUCUGGGUUGUAAACUCCUUUUAUCUGGGAAGAAAUGCAGAUUUUCUAAUCUGUUUGACGGUACCAGAGGAAUAAGCACCGGCUAACUCCGUGCCAGCAGCCGCGGUAAUACGGAGGGUGCAAGCGUUAUCCGGAUUCACUGGGUUUAAAGGGUGCGUAGGUGGACAGGUAAGUCAGUGGUGAAAUCUCCAAGCUUAACUUGGAAACUGCCGUUGAUACUAUCUGUCUUGAAUAUCGUGGAGGUAAGCGGAAUAUGUCAUGUAGCGGUGAAAUGCUUAGAUAUGACAUAGAACGCCG
rnacentral:rRNA from 1 species